UCUUCUUCUUCUUCUUCUUCUUCCAAGCUCUCUUCUUUACCAUUUCUGUAAACAUCGUUUAAAUCUGCAAGCCAUGGACCCGCAAGAGCAGGACGCAAUUGCUGGUGGAGAAACCGACCACAACGGAUAUGAGAUUAAGUCUCAAUCUCACACUGGAGACGGAGCUAGUCCUGGAAAAAUUUUCAUUGGAGGUUUAGCCAGGGAGACUACUUCUGCUCAAUUUGUCAAGCACUUUGGUAAAUAUGGUGAAAUUACUGAUUCUGUUAUAAUGAAGGACCGGAAGACUGGACAACCUCGUGGUUUUGGGUUUGUGACCUAUGCAGAUCCCUCAGUUGUUGAUCAAGUUAUACAGGACACACAUAUUAUUAAUGGGAAACAAGUGGAAAUCAAGCGAACGAUACCAAAGGGAGCUAUUGGAUCUAAGGAUUUCAAGACCAAAAAGAUUUUUGUUGGUGGAAUUCCAACAGCUGUGACUGAAGAUGAGUUCAAAGAAUUCUUUAUGCAAUAUGGUGAGGUCAUUGAACACCAGAUCAUGCGAGACCACUCUACCAACCGCUCUCGUGGCUUUGGAUUUAUUACAUUUGACUCAGAGGAGACAGUGGAUGAUCUUUUGGCCAAAGGGAAUAAGCUUGAGUUAGCUGGAACUCAGGUCAGCCAAUAGCAACAACAGUUUGUUCUUCCUUUUCCUUAGGUUCUUUAAGAUAAUAUUUAUGUCGUUACAGCUGCCCUUCUUACUCUAGGUUCUUGAAGAUAGUAGUUAUAUCUAGAUAAUAUUUGGUUGUUGAUGCUCCUUUUCUUGUUCCAACAAUGUGACUGGAAUUAUUACAAGACCUCAACUCAAUCCAUUAUAGUUGACAUUACAAUUAGCUUUUAUAGUUUUGCAUGAGAAUGCAUUGUUGGAGAAACCAAGCUGUUUCCAUAGAACCCAAAAAAAGAAAUUUCUACUCGGAGGCAAACAACUCUCUGAAGUGAAUUCAUGUAAAAUUUAUGAUUUAAAUAGAACUCUAAAAGAACUAGAAAAAAAAAAAUCUAUAAUUUCCCUAAUAAACUCUAUAUUAAAACUGAACUAUAAUCCUAAGCUUCUUGAGUAUUUGACUAUGAAUUUUCUUGAAUUCCUUGGCUGCAUCACUAGUUCCCAAAUUCUAUUAUGGAAACUAAUAAAGAAACUAGUUGGAGCCCUAACUGCACCUCUCCAAAUUUGGAGUCUGAAGAAGAGCCUGCUUUUGAGUCCCUUGUAUCAACACCUUUUAUGAAGGUGGAAAAAACUCGACAUUUUCCAUCAGUAGAUGUUGUCGCAAGAAGGAUAUUAUUAGGGUGCCAAGCAACACUUGUGACAGAGGAAUCAUGUCUCUUCCUGAUAAGUUUGCUAACCCACCUGUAGAAAUGUAAAUUUUGAAUAUUUUCUGGUACAGUCACAUGAAGAAAUUUAGGCCGGCACACAAACUGCAUAAAGUUAAUAACCCUAGCUUCAAGUUAUACAGGCUAAGUACAAGAAUUUUGCCCUUAACAAAAUUCAAGCAAAUAUUUAAUUAAUCAUAGUCAAAAAUCAAAAUGUAGAAACCCAAAAUUAGGUAGAGCAUAUGCAAAUUAUACAGUAAUUACCAGUUGUUGUCUUGCUCAUAGUAGUAUAUACAUACAGAUACAGUUUUAGCCCCACUUCCAACAGCAAACUUAUUCUCUUAUAUCAGAAAAAUAUUGUGUUUCAGUAUCUCUUGGACUCCACUGCACACAAAGUGCAGCACGGUUAAGCCUGAGGAUAACAAGGGUUGGUACCCAUUCUGGCCCUUCUUGGUUCCACACAUAUCUUGAAAGAAAAUACAUAUUCAGUCAACAAGAAGACAACAAAGAGAAAAGAAACAUGAUGAGAAAUAGUAGUCUCAUGUCAGUGCACAUGUGCACAAGUGAGAAAGAGGGGAAGAGAGGAAAAAAUUAAUGCUAAAAUUUUAUUUCUCCAAUUAUUUCCUAAAGAAAAAAAAAAAUUGACUAUAGAUCAAACAAGUAGGCACUCACGAAUUUCAAUCAUGAGAUGUAGUAACAAUUCUGUUUGAUCUUGCACUCCAAUCUAUCCCAGAGACAAUUUGAUCAUGCUUUUGAAGGACAUGUACCCUCUCCCAUUUGUCUUGGGAGGAUUUAUAAAUGUGAACUUCAAUAUUAUUGGGACAAAGAACUAUCACUAUCCAAAUGGAUGAGACAGAAUGAAUAACAUCCUUAUUCGAACAACGCAUAAAAGAGGUCCAAAAUCAGCGUUUUCCUACAUUUUCCAAGAAACCAAACCAAAAACAAAGAAAUUACUUAUAGAACACUAAAGGAAGAAAGAAAGUUAAUUACUAGAGUGAUCGGGACUCCAAGCGUCGCAAGUUAGUGAACCGCGACAGCCGCCAUUUCUUGUACUUUUGCGCUCGAUUACCU
rnacentral:misc_RNA from 1 species